AUGGCGACACCAUCGGAAGCUAGCGAAUUGGGACCAAAGUUUCCGGAGGAUCCGAGUGUUCUACUAGAGAGGCUACAUCUGGAAGAUGACGAGCUUGACAAUAUGGUUUGGGAGGAGGAGGCGGAUGAACCAGAUGAGAAACCUAAGUGGUUAGCCCUAGCUAGGGUUUUGACGACCAAGUCUUUUGGUCAAGGAGCUUUGAUCGCUGACAUGAGAGCGGCCUGGAACCCUGCGCAAGAAGUAGUGUGGAGGAGAAUAAACCCAAAUCUGUUCUUCGUGCAGUUUAAUUGUCUUGAUGAGUGGAACAAGGCAAUUGUCGGUGUCAAAGCCGGCGGAUCUCGGGUAGGGGGUCCCGAACUGUGCGUCUAA
rnacentral:rRNA from 1 species